rnacentral:rRNA from 1 species
UCAGGAUGAACGCUAGCGGCAGGCCUAACACAUGCAAGUCGAGGGGUAGAGGAAGCUUGCUUCCUUGAGACCGGCGCACGGGUGCGUAACGCGUAUGCAAUCUACCUUGUACAGAGGAAUAGCCCAGAGAAAUUUGGAUUAAUGCCUCAUAGUAUAUUGGGUCGGCAUCGACCUAUUAUUAAAGAUUUAUCGGUACAAGAUGAGCAUGCGUCCCAUUAGUUAGUUGGUAAGGUAACGGCUUACCAAGACGAUGAUGGGUAGGGGUCCUGAGAGGGAGAUCCCCCACACUGGUACUGAGACACGGACCAGACUCCUACGGGAGGCAGCAGUGAGGAAUAUUGGGCAAUGGAGGCAACUCUGACCCAGCCAUGCCGCGUGCAGGAAGACGGUCCUCUGGAUUGUAAACUGCUUUUAUACGGGAAGAAACACCACUACGU